rnacentral:rRNA from 1 species
UACGAAGGGUGCAAGCGUUAAUCGGAAUUACUGGGCGUAAAGGGUGCGUAGGCGGUUCGUUAAGUCUGUCGUGAAAUCCCCGGGCUCAACCUGGGAAUGGCGAUGGAUACUGGCGAGCUAGAGUGUGUCAGAGGAUAGUGGAAUUCCCGGUGUAGUGGUGAAAUGCGUAGAUAUCGGGAGGAACACCAGUGGCGAAGGCGACUAUCUGGGCUGAAACUGACGCUGAGGCGCGAAGGCUAGGGGAGCAAACAGG